CAGUUCAAUGUGAAUUUCAGAUCAACAAUGUGUAAUUUUUAUGCAUAAGUAUGUCCCAUGCAGUAUUUGGGACAUACUUAUACUUUAAGUUAUUGUGUCAUUGACAUGAAAUUCAAAUUUCACUGGCUGUC
rnacentral:miRNA from 1 species